rnacentral:rRNA from 1 species
AUUGAACGCUGGCGGCAGGCCUAACACAUGCAAGUCGAGCGGAUGAAGGGAGCUUGCUCCUGGAUUCAGCGGCGGACGGGUGAGUAAUGCCUAGGAAUCUGCCUGGUAGUGGGGGAUAACGUCCGGAAACGGGCGCUAAUACCGCAUACGUCCUGAGGGAGAAAGAGGGGGAUCUUCGGACCUCACGCUAUCAGAUGAGCCUAGGUCGGAUUAGCUAGUUGGUGGGGUAAAGGCCUACCAAGGCGACGAUCCGUAACUGGUCUGAGAGGAUGAUCAGUCACACUGGAACUGAGACACGGUCCAGACUCCUACGGGAGGCAGCAGUGGGGAAUAUUGGACAAUGGGCGAAAGCCUGAUCCAGCCAUGCCGCGUGUGUGAAGAAGGUCUUCGGAUUGUAAAGCACUUUAAGUUGGGACGAAGGGCAGUAAGUUAAUACCUUGCUGUUUUGACGUUACCAACAGAAUAAGCACCGGCUAACUUCGUG